AAGAUCCUUCGGGGCGGGGCGAAACUCCCCACCGGCGGUGAUGACAUGUUUGUGAAUCGCUUCUGUGAACACAGCAUGGCUUAGUCCGUGACCCGGAUGCUGAACAAUCAGCAGAAGGUGGACCUGGUGUAAUUCCGGGACCGACAGUAUAGUCUGGAUGGGAGAAGGAUACG
rfam:Paenibacillus polymyxa SC2, complete genome.